UACGUAGGGCGCAAGCGUUGUCCGGAAUUAUUGGGCGUAAAGAGCUCGUAGGCGGUCUGUCGCGUCGGUUGUGAAAACCCAAGGCUCAACCUUGGGCCUGCAAUCGAUACGGGCAGACUAGAGUACUGCAGGGGGAGACUGGAAUUCCUGGUGUAGCGGUGGAAUGCGCAGAUAUCAGGAGGAACACCGGUGGCGAAGGCGGGUCUCUGGGCAGUAACUGACGCUGAGGAGCGAAAGCGUGGGGGAGCGAACAGG
rnacentral:rRNA from 1 species